GUAACUCCGCCGCCCUGGGGGCCGCGCGGAUGGAGGCGCGAGGGCGGGAGCCGGCCGUGGAGCCGCCGCCCCCGUCCUUCUAAGCGCCCGGCGGGACGCGAACCGCGGCCUCCGGGCCCUGGGGCCCCGCGCGCGCUGCGGGGCUGGCGCGGUCCCCGCGGAGGCCGGGAGGGGACGAAGGCCGGCAAAGCGUACUGCCCUUCUAUCCAAGUGGCCCACCCCCUGACAUCAGCAGAAUGGAAGCACCUGGAAGGUGACAUCACUGUUGCCCACGGCAACACCUCCACCUUAAGGCAACUGAGAGGAAUAAGAACCACUCCAACUGUAGGACUGAUGUUGAAGGGAGGGAGCAUAGAAGGUGUGACAUCCCAGGUGUGUUUCUCAGGGGCUGGGCAAGGGGGGCAGGUAGGGGCUGCAUUUUCAGAGGUCUGGGCUGUGAGCCAGUUGGUGGUAGGCCUCUGGGCCUUGGGCUUGGCCCAAGUGAAUAGAGCUCAGUGCUGAGACCAGCAGUUUUGUGUAGUUCUCUGAGUUGUGACUUGAAGCAAAGAGUAUGACAUCUUACAGUAGCUUCUGGCAGCUUCCAUGGCCUUGGGUUUCACAGCCUGAUCUGGUGGGGGAGAGUGGUAGGUAGGGGAGCAGUGAUAGGGUGAUCAGAAGAGUGGCUUUCCCAUUUUCUCCACCCUCACCCCCAAAGGAAAGUGGGAAACAAGGAUGCCCACGUCCUGGCUACAGGAACUGACUUAAGAGAGACUGUCCGUUCAUUGCUCAAGUAUUUCUUGUGCUCCUGCAAUGUGCAAGGCAAUGAGUGUGCUAGGGAUUCAUUGACCUCAUGGAGCUUUAUAAUCAAAUGCACGCAGAGAAGAGGAAUAUCUGGGAUCUGCAGCUCCAAGAGCUGGUACAGCUGGGAACAGAAGCAAGGUCGCACAGCUCACCUCUCGCCAGCUCUAGCACGCCACAGUUUCAACUUGGCUUAAACUAAAGCUACAGAAUCCCUUCCUCCCCAGUAGUUCAUACAGGGGUUCGGAAGUGGUUGAGAUACAUCCCAGGAUUUGGAGAGUGGCAUUAGAGAGGAUGGGCACAGGUAUCAACUGCGUCCUGCCAAAGAGCAGAAUCCCACAAAGUCUGAGUGUCAAGAGGUGAGAAGACACCAGGCCAACCACCUACCCAGGUCUUCUGCUGUGACUCACUCUGGUAUUAGCAGUUAGGGCUCAGUUUCUCAACCUGUUAAUAGGGAUAAUAGCAGCCAGUACCAGAGAAUGAAUAUACAGAGCACUUUAAAAUCCUCAGAUAAGGAUUUUAAACCUUUUAAACCUAAACCCAGGUGGCCCAGUGGUUUAGCACCACCUUCAGCCCAGGGUGUGAUCCUGGGGACCUGGGAGCGAGCCUGCCUCGGGCUUCCUGCAUGGAGCCUGCUUCUCCCUCUGUCUGUGUCUCUGCCUCUCUCUCUCUGUCUCUCAUGAAUAAAUAAAUAAAAUUUAAAAAUAAAUUAAAAAAU
rnacentral:lncRNA from 12 species